UCCCUGAGACCCUUAACCUGUGA
rnacentral:ncRNA from 15 species